rnacentral:rRNA from 1 species
UUGGAGGGCGCAGCUGAUCAUCCAUGCCGCGUGUCUGAAGAAGGCCUUCGGGUUGUAAAGGACUUUUGUCAGGGAGGAAAUCCCUAGCGCUAAUAUCGCUGGGGGAUGACAGUACCUGAAGAAUAAGCACCGGCUAACUACGUGCCAGCAGCCGCGGUAAUACGUAGGGUGCAAGCGUUAAUCGGAAUUACUGGGCGUAAAGCGUGCGCAGGCGGUUGUGUAAGUCUGAUGUGAAAGCCCCGGGCUCAACCUGGGAACUGCAUUGGAGACUGCACAGCUAGAGUGCGUCAGAGGGGGGUAGAAUUCCACGUGUAGCAGUGAAAUGCGUAGAGAUGUGGAGGAAUACCGAUGGCGAAGGCAGCCCCCUGGGAUGACACUGACGCUCAUGCACGAAAGCGUGGGGAGCAAACAGGAUUAGAUACCCUGGUAGUCCACGCCCUAAACGAUGUCAAUUAGCUGUUGGGGGUUUGAAUCCUUGGUAGCGUAGCUAACGC